rnacentral:lncRNA from 1 species
CGACUGAAUAUCCACAGUGUGACUCUGCGGCGUCGCUUCAUCUUCAUCUGCCUGGAAACACAAACACAGAAGCAGGGUGGCGUCGCUCUGCCUCACAGGUGUGGAGGACCGGCCGGGCUCGGGCUCAGCCUGACCCGCUUCCAGCCUCUCCAGCCGGGAUCCUUCACCGACCGACGCCCCGCUGCCCAUCCUGACACCCGACAGACAGACAGACAGACAGAAAGAGAGAGAGAGAGAAGGAGAGAGACGGACAGGCCAGGUGGUGGCAUCAGUGACAACAGCUGGUUCCUGCUGCAGGAUGAGACACUUUCACCCUUUUGUUAUCUGAAUGUCUGGAGCAGCUGGUGCACCCCGGCAGAUAUCUGCAUCCUGGUCUGUCUGUGCCACCGAGCAGUGAAAUCCUCACUGAUUGCCUCGUUUAGAGUGGACGUAUCCUCCUCUUCUCUGUCCUGGAGGAGCUGCUGGCUGUGCUGGCAGCCGGGCGGCGGUCGAGUGUUUGGUGGAUAACAGCAGGGACUCGUUCUGCCUCGGCUCGGCCUCCACGGACGGCCAAAUUAGAAACGACAAGCUAUAAAAGAGGAGAGGAAACGAGUUUCCCCGGAGAACAAUCUGGGAAAUGACUCUCUAUUCACACAGACAGCGAGAAUAUUGACAGAGUCACACACACUCUCAGCCAAUCAGCUUUUUGUUGCUUUUUAUAAGAGCAGGAACAGAAAAUCUGCUGCUUCCACUGCUUUUCUGUCUGUCUGUCUGCUUAAAGAACACAAAUGUAAAGAUCACAUAUGAAGUAAUAUUCUAGUAAAAGACCUUAAAAGAAGCUCUUGCAUUCUAUUUUUGUUUUUUCAAAAUGACCAGAAACAGAAGUCCCCUCUUAGAUAGUGGAGAGAUGCAGUGCCCUGUUGGCAUAUAGAUGUGUAUGUGUGUGUCUGUGUGUUUUUGAAGAACCACAUAAAAGAUGGGUACAAAACAACAAUUCAACUACCAACUGCAUGUUUCAUUGUUCAGAUCCAAAAACAUUAUUUCAAAUUGUUGUCCAGAUUUUAAAGUUUCCAAACAAUAAAAUCCAAGUUCCAAUACAUGAAAUGAUCCAAAAUACUGUAAAUAUACCUUUAUUUUCUCCUUUUGAUGUAAAGAACUCACAAUGAUUCUGAUUCUGUGUUUUCAGGCUCCAUCAGUUGAACUCUGCUGUCAGUCGUCUGUUCAGUGAGAGGACGAGUCGUUCUAUAUUUAAGGUGGACGUCUCAGUUUGGGUUCAUGUGAUGUUGUUGACUGAAGAACUGAAUCUCUCUCUGCUGUUUCUCUCUUCAUAGAAUAACCAAAUAAAGAAUAAAGACAGGAAAUGAAAUGAAAACAGAAACAA